UACAGAGGUCUCAAGCGUUGUUCGGAUUCAUUGGGCGUAAAGGGUGUGUAGGUGGCGCCGUAAGUCGGGUGUGAAAUUUCGGAGCUUAACUCCGAAACUGCAUUCGAUACUGCGGUGCUUGAGGACUGGAGAGGAGACUGGAAUUCAUGGUGUAGCAGUGAAAUGCGUAGAGAUCAUGAGGAAGACCAGUGGCGAAGGCGGAUCUCUGGGCCAUUACUGACGCUGAGGAGCGAAAGCGUGGGGAGCGAACAGG
rnacentral:rRNA from 1 species